UGUACUCACUUGUGAUUGUUUCUGCCUCAGGGAGACUCAGGCUGCUGGGCAGGACUGUGUCUGAGACGUCAUCAUCCUGACAUGUUGACUGGAAAAAAAGCAGGGAAGAGGAUGUAGGUUUUAUAAAAGGUCUGCCAGGAAUCUCUGUCAGCACGUCUGUAUCAGUCUCUCCCACAUGGGGCACCACUGGCAGGGGGAGGACAGAGCUGGUGGGAGAUGCCUUUGCCGCUUCACGCUUCGCCGGCUGUCACGCCGCAGAUGGAGUCAGAGAACAGUAUAUUAGUGGAAAUUACAGAGAAAGAGGUCCCGUUCUGACCAGCAGGGCUGUCCACCAGGAUGUGUUUGAUGAAAAUCCCCCUCAUCACCUCCCCGUUAUUCAGUCGGCUGCCCAUCCCGCGGCCCCCUACGAUACUGAUGCCCAGGGACUUGCCUGGUGCUCGGAACAGCUCCACUCUGAGGUCCAUAAACUGAAAAUGGCCAGCCUCCUAAUUCUGGACGAAUCUCCUCGACAGACUGCAGUAAAGCUUCACAGCAGAUGGACAGAAGGAGGCAAAAAAAUAGGUCUGGUCCAAUGAGUGAGUGUCUUCGAAGCAUGGCACGAGCCUGGACAUUGGACAGGUUAGUAGUGGGCUCUCCGUUAACGGCCAGAAUGAGGUCACCGACCCCUAGGCGUCCAUCACGGCUAAUCGACCCACCGUGGAUGAUGCUGCGGAUCUGCAUCCCCAGGCCAUCUUUCAUGGCGCUGACUGUCAUACCUUAAAAGGUGUGGAUGAAUGCAAGAAAUCCAGGUCUGGACUACAACUGCUGCCAUGGAGAGCAAUCAUAGAAGCUUGGAAGGUGUGGUCUUCUUGUCCAGUGUAAGAGUGAUCGAAGAACUUCUCAUCACUCAGCUAACUAACCAAUGCAGGCUCAGCUAGGUAAACGACGCCAUCAGCCAGAUCUUCUUCUUCAUCUCCGCCUUCAACCACAAUACUGUUGAAGUCAAAUGAAAGGACGGUGGAGGAAGCCGUAAUUUCCUGCUCAGCAUAUGUGUGUGGAGAGUGGGAAUAUCCACAUAUUCCCUAGGAAAGUGGAGAAAUCCCUUUAGUUUCUCCUUCUGUGAUUGAUCCCCAGGCCGCUGUUCGUGGUGAACUUUUCCACCUGAGCCACCUUGACACAGACAUGACAGAUCACAUCUAUAAAGACUGGAUAUUAAGGCGCGGGUCCUUCUCGUAUGGCGACCAAGGUCACACUGUUGUUUUCUGUUAGCUGUUUACCGAGACAAAGCAAUUACUUGGAGGAAACGUGAUAAAUGUGAGACAGAAGAUUAC